GGAAUCAUCAAGAAUUUGUGUGUCUAAUGCAAAGCAACAGAAGAUAUCUGAUAUCUCUGAGAGGAGUUUUGGAAGUUCAGAUCACAAGGUUAAACCAGAAGGUAAGAGCAUAGGUGAGAGUCUGGAAGUCCAAAUUCGGGGGACAACAAUAGGAGCUGAUGAGCCAGAUGAAACUAUUGAAGAUAUGGAGCUUAGUCCACGUCUGACCAACUUCAUCAAUAGCGGCUUUGUCCCUGAAUCUCCUACAACUGAUAGAGUGUUUAAGGAUAAAAGUGUAGAGACCAUGGUUAAAGACCUAUUUUCAACACCAAAAAUAUCUUCGGAACAGAAUGAAAAGACAGUGGGUGGCAGUAGUACCUGUGGAAAAUAUAAUGAAAUGUCAACUCCUAUACAAAACAUUGACAAUACUGAACCCAGAAGUUGCAAGUACACUAGUCUAAUUGUUGAAGAUAAACAAACUCCUAUGGAAAAAAAUUCAGGCAAAAGCUGCAGCGAAGACUGGCAACUGCGCUCUACAGAUAAAUCAGAUAGCAUUGGGAAAAUAUGGAAGUUUAGAAGAUUGC
rnacentral:misc_RNA from 1 species